AUGCAGACACUCCAGUGCUCAAACAAGACACAGAGCAAGAAAUUGCACAUACCUUGCUUUGGCCUCGCUCUCGUGCUGCUGGUCUCCUUGGCCUCUCCGGCCAGUUCCUGCACCGAGCAUGAGGAGGCCUCCCUUCUCCAGUUCCAUGCCGGGCUCUCGUGGGACGGCGGCCUCGCCGCGACGUGGCGGAGCAACAAGGACUGCUGCACUUGGGAAGGGGUCAUCUGCAGCAGUCCUAAUAGGACGGUCACUGAUGUUUUGCUGGCUUCUCGAGGCCUCGAGGGGUCCGUCUCGCCGUUCCUUGGCAACCUCACCAGCCUUUUGCGCCUCAACCUCUCUCACAACUCGCUGUCCGGUGGCCUGCCGCUGGAAUUGGUGUCGUCCAGCAGCAUCACUACACUUGAUGUUAGCUUUAACCAGCUCACUGGAAAACUCCACGAACUGGCAUCUCCAACCCCUGCCCAGCCUCUCCAGGUACUGAACAUCUCGAGCAACUUAUUUGCAGGACAGUUUCCAUCCACCACAUGGGAAGCAAUGAAGAAUCUGAGAGCACUCAAUGCCAGUAACAACAGCUUUACAGGGCACAUACCAACUUAUCUCUGUAACAGCUCACCGUCCUUCGCUGUGCUUGAUCUGUGUUUAAACAAAUUCAGUGGCAACAUCCCCCAACAAAUUGGUGAUUGCUCCAAGCUGAGAGAGCUCAGGGUCGGGUACAACAACAUCAGUGGAGAAAUCCCAGACGAACUCUUCAAUGCUACUUUGUUGGAAUACCUGUCUUUUCGUAAUAAUCAUUUAAAUGGAGUUCUUGAUGGUGUGCGCAUAACCAAGCUCAGAAAUCUAGUAACACUUGAUCUUGGAGGGAACAACUUCAGUGGCGAGAUUCCAGAUUCCAUAGGCCAGCUCAAGAAAUUGGAGGAGUUCCAUUUGGACAACAAUAAAUUGUCAGGGGAGCUGCCAUCAGCUCUAAGCAACUGCACGAAUCUCGUAGCAAUUGACCUCAAGAAUAACAAUUUCAGUGGACAGCUCGCCAAGGUCAAUUUCUCCAACCUGCCAAAUCUAAAGACAUUAGAUGUUUACUUCAACAACUUCAACGGCACAGUUCCAGAAAGCAUAUACUCUUGCAGCAAUCUGACUGCACUACGGGUAUCCACCAACAAAUUAAUAGGGCAGCUUUCACCAAGAAUAAGUGAUCUGAAGAACCUCACCUUCCUAUCACUCUCCACAAACUCUUUCAGCAAUAUCACAAACACACUUCACAUCCUAAAGAUCUGCAGGAACCUUACCACUCUGCUAAUCGGCAGUAACUUCAAGGGAGAGCUCAUGCCAGAGGAUGACAGAAUUGAUGGCUUUGAGAAUCUCCAGGUUUUGGACAUUGACAGUUGCCAGUUGUCUGGAAAAAUACCUCUAUGGAUAUCAAGGCUCACAAAUUUGGAGAUCUUACUUUUAAAUAGCAAUCAACUCACUGGACCGAUACCAGGCUGGAUCAACUCCCUAAGCCAUCUCUUCUUUAUGGAUGUGUCAAACAACAAUCUUACAGGAGAAAUCCCGUUAACCUUGAUGGAGAUGCCAAUGCUAAAAUCAAUUGAAAAUGCAACUCAAUGGGACCCAAGGGUCUUUGAGUUGCCUGUUUACAGUGGUCCAUCACUUCAAUACCGUGUUGUUACAUCUUUUCCAACGGUGUUGAAUCUAAGCAACAAUCAGUUCACUGGUGUGAUUCCCCCACAGAUUGGUCAGUUGAAAGUGCUUGUUGUACUUGAUUUAAGUUUCAACAAGUUAUCCGGACAGAUCCCACUGUCGAUUUGCAACCUCACAAACUUGCAGGUGCUAGACUUGUCCAGCAACAGUCUAACAGGUGCUAUCCCAGCUGCAUUGAAUAGCCUACACUUCCUUUCAGCAUUCAGCAUUUCGAACAAUGACCUAGAAGGGCCUAUUCCAUCUGGAGGCCAGUUCAAUACAUUCCAGAAUUCUAGUUUCGAUGGGAAUCCAAAGCUGUGUGGCUCUAUUCUCACUCACAAAUGUGAUUCUUCAAUACACCCGUCCUCCAGAAAACAACGAGAUAAGAAAUUUGCUUUCGCAAUUGGAUUUGGUGUGUUCUUUGGAGGUAUUGCUAUUCUGCUGUUGCUGGUGCGACUCCUUCUCUCAGUCAAGAUGAAGGGUUUUACAGAGAAAAAUGGAAGCAAGAAUAGCGGAGAUGUUGAAGCGACUUCAUUCUACUCCAGUUCAGAGGAAACACUAGUAGUGAUGCACAUGCCACAAGGCAAGGGAGAAGGAAACAAGCUCAAAUUCUCUGACAUUUUGAAAGCUACGAACAACUUUGACAAGGAGAACAUCAUUGGGUGUGGAGGCUAUGGGUUAGUCUACAAGGCAGAGCUACAUGAUGGCUCCAAAUUGGCAAUUAAAAAGCUCAACGGUGAAAUGUGUCUGAUGGAAAGGGAAUUCAGUGCAGAGGUUGAUGCUCUCUCCAUGGCACAGCAUGAAAAUCUUGUACCACUCUGGGGUUACUGCGUCCAGGGACACUCAAGGCUCCUCAUGUAUUCCUACAUGGAGAAUGGCAGCCUAGAUGAUUGGCUUCAUAACAGAGAUGAUGGCACUAGCUCAUUUCUUGACUGGCCGACUCGGCUCAAGAUCGCACGAGGAGCCAGCCUAGGCCUCUCCUAUAUCCAUGAUAUCUGCAAGCCUCAAAUUGUACACCGUGACAUCAAAUCCAGUAAUAUCCUAUUGGACAAAGAAUUUAAAGCUUACCUUGCAGAUUUUGGGCUAGCCAGAUUGAUCCUUCCCAACAAAACUCAUGUUACAACUGAGUUGGUCGGCACUAUGGGUUACAUUCCCCCUGAGUAUGGGCAAGCGUGGGUUGCUACGUUGAGAGGAGAUAUAUACAGUUUUGGGGUAGUCCUGCUUGAGCUGCUCACAGGAAGGCGACCUGUUCCAGUUUCGUCUACAACAAAAGAACUUGUCCCAUGGGUUCUACAGAUGAGGUCUGAGGGCAAGCAGAUUGAGGUCCUGGAUCCAACACUUCGAGAAACAGGGUAUGAAGAGCAAAUGCUGAAGGUGCUUGAAACUGCUUGCAGGUGUGUCAAUCAUAAUCAGUUCAGGAGGCCAACUAUCAUGGAAGUGGUCUCCUGCUUGGGCAGUAUAGACACUGAUCUGCGGACAUAA
rnacentral:rRNA from 1 species